rnacentral:rRNA from 1 species
UACCAGCACCCCGAGUGGUCGGGACGUUUUAUUGGGCCUAAAGCAUCCGUAGCCGGUUCUACAAGUCUUCCGUUAAAUCCACCUGCUUAACAGAUGGGCUGCGGAAGAUACUAUGGAGCUAGGAGGCGGGGAGAGGCAAGCGGUACUCGAUGGGUAGGGGUAAAAUCCGUUGAUCCAUUGAAGACCACCAGUGGCGAAGGCGGCUUGCCAGAACGCGCUCGACGGUGAGGGAUGAAAGCUGGGGGAGCAAAGCCGG